UCUUGGCAAAUUCCUAAAUCACAUAUUGCCCUAACUCCCCUCUGCCUUCCCCCUCUCAUUGUAACUCGCUUCCUUCUCUAGCCCAUUGUCGCCGCCGCCUCCUCGCUGCCUCUACGCUUGCUGCCUCCAGAGCACGCUUACUGGUCGUCAUCAUCGUCGCUGCCGCCUCCUCGCUGCCUCAACGCCAUCGCCGCCGCCGCCUCCUUAACGCCCCCUCAACGCCGCCGACGGCUCCAGCUGGUGAAGAGAGCAUGAAAAGAUAUAGAAUAUGGAUCAUGAAUGGGUAAAGAACUCGAAUAGGGUAUCUCCUCAGUAUGUGGCAAGGAACGAGCACAGAAGAACGAUGACUCUUGUGCAAAACAAAAGUGAGAAUCUAGAAAUGGUUUGAGGAGUACAACGCGUCAUCACGUUAUUCAUGGAGCUGAUUUGGAUGCUUCAACAUGACAUUUUGAGACUUGGCAUCUUCGACAUUAGCAUUUCGAACUUGGUUGGUCGUCUCUAAAGUUAGAGACUAAAUAUGAACAAAUGAUGCGGCGAGAUAAUCCUCCAGAUAAAAUAACUGAUAAGGAUAUCUUAGAGAAGAUCAUUGGACGACAAUCUGUUUGCUUGUUUGGUUGGGGCCCCCAACUUGGGGGCGAUUUCUUAGUACUUUUGGAGCAACAUGCAAAAAGAGACUUAAUGUUCUUCUCAAUGGUACACGUGGAUUAGACGGAUGAGGCAUAAUAUUCUUUUCAAUCAACACUUGUCACAACAUGUUUACGUCUCCUUAGAGUUCUUGAAAAAGAGAC